rnacentral:sRNA from 1 species
AACGUUGCUUUAGCAACGGCCCGCAGGGUGAGGCGUUGGCGCCGAAUCAUCCUCCCGGAUACACCA